AUUGAACGCUGGCGGCAUGCCUUACACAUGCAAGUCGAACGGUAACAGGUCUUCGGAUGCUGACGAGUGGCGAACGGGUGAGUAAUACAUCGGAACGUGCCUAGUAGUGGGGAUAACUACUCGAAAGAGUGGCUAAUACCGCAUGAGAUCUACGGAUGAAAGCAGGGGAUCGCAAGACCUUGUGCUACUAGAGCGGCCGAUGGCAGAUUAGGUAGUUGGUGGGAUAAAAGCUUACCAAGCCGACGAUCUGUAGCUGGUCUGAGAGGACGAUCAGCCACACUGGGACUGAGACACGGCCCAGACUCCUACGGGAGGCAGCAGUGGGGAAUUUUGGACAAUGGGCGCAAGCCUGAUCCAGAAAUGCCGCGUGCAGGAUGAAGGCCUUCGGGUUGUAAACUGCUUUUGUACGGAACGAAAAGCCCUGGGUUAAUACCCUGGGGUCAUGACGGUACCGUAAGAAUAAGCACCGGCUAACUACGUGCCAGCCGCCGCAGUAAAAC
rnacentral:rRNA from 1 species